ACUGAAUAGAUACCCUGGUAGUCCAUGCCGUAAACUAUGGAUACUAGCUGUUUGGGGGUAGUCGACCCCUCCCACGUAGCGAAAGCUAACGCGUUAAGUAUCCCGCCUGUGGAGUACGAUCGCAAGAUUAAAACAAUAAAGGAAUUGACGGGGACCCGGCACAAGCGGUGGAGCGUGUUCUUUAAUUCGAUGCUAAACGAAGAACCUUACCAGGGCUUGACAUCCCUUGAAUUACUCCGAAAGGAGUGAGUGCUUUAUUGAGCAAGGUGACAGGUGAUGCAUGGCCGUCGCCAGCUCGUGUCGUGAGAUGUUUUGGUUAAAGUCCAUCAACGAGCGCAACCCUUAUACUUAGUUGUAUUUUUCUAGGUAGACUGCCCCGGUAACGGGGAGGAAGGGGGUGGUA
rnacentral:rRNA from 1 species